CCUACGGGAGGCAGCAGUGGGGAAUAUUGGACAAUGGGCGAAAGCCUGAUCCAGCCAUGCCGCGUGUGUGAAGAAGGCCUUCGGGUUGUAAAGCACUUUCAGUGGGGAAGAAAGCCUUGGGGCUAAUACCCUCGAGGAAGGACAUCACCCACAGAAGAAGCACCGGCUAACUCCGUGCCAGCAGCCGCGGUAAUACGGAGGGUGCACGCGUUAAUCGGAAUUACUGGGCGUAAAGCGCGCGUAGGCGGUCUGAUAAGCCGGUUGUGAAAGCCCCGGGCUCAACCUGGGAACGGCAUCCGGAACUGUCAGGCUAGAGGGCAGGAGAGGAAGGUAGAAUUCCCGGUGUAGCGGUGAAAUGCGUAGAGAUCGGGAGGAAUACCAGUGGCGAAGGCGGCCUUCUGGACUGACACUGACGCUGAGGUGCGAAAGCGUGGGUAGCAAACAGGAUUAGAUACCCGAGUAGUC
rnacentral:rRNA from 1 species